AGUUUUUGCUUUUUUUUUUU
rnacentral:snRNA from 1 species